rnacentral:lncRNA from 1 species
UUCGUAUUUGUCCAAUUACCAUGAUCGUUGACAUGUAUCGAAGUUCUAAUGUGAAUUAAAUGGGUUAUACAUGGGUUUUCCAUAUAUGUACACAGGCAAAUUUUGUUCAGGUAAAUUUCAUGUGAGAUUCACCUGAAACAAGCUUAUACAUGAAACUCGCGUUCAAUUAAUGUGAAUUGAGCUCAGCUAACAUGAAAUUCAUGUUAAAUUUUUCAUGUGAAGCUAACCUGAAUCAAGCAUUCAUAUUAAUUUUUUUAAAAUGAAAUGAAGGUGAAUUGAGCACCAAUCACAC